GAGACAGCAGUAGCCGCGGGAAUACAGAGGGUGCGAGCGUUAAUCGGAUUUACUGGGCGUAAAGCGUGCGUAGGCGGCUUCUUAAGUCGGAUGUGAAAUCCCUGAGCUUAACUUAGGAAUUGCAUUCGAUACUGGGAAGCUAGAGUAUGGGAGAGGAUGGUAGAAUUCCAGGUGUAGCGGUGAAAUGCGUAGAGAUCUGGAGGAAUACCGAUGGCGAAGGCAGCCAUCUGGCCUAAUACUGACGCUGAGGUACGAAAGCAUGGGGAGCAAACAGGAUUAGAUACCCCGGUAGUCCCUGUCUCUUAUAC
rnacentral:rRNA from 1 species